rnacentral:rRNA from 1 species
GACGAACCGUGCGAACGUUAUUCGGAAUCACUGGGCUUAAAGGGCGCGUAGGCGGGACGGCGCGUCGGCAGCUGAAAUCCCCCGGCUCAACCGGGGAACAGGCGCCGAUACGGCCGGUCCUGGAGGCGAGGAGGGGGACCCGGAACGUCCGGUGGAGCGGUGAAAUGCGUUGAGAUCGGACGGAACACCGACGGCGAAAGCAGGGUCCUGGACUCGUACUGACGCUGAGGCGCGAAAGCCAGGGGAGCGAACGGGAUUAGAUACCCCGGUAGUCCUGGCCGUAAACGAUGGGCACCGGACGGUGGGCUCGCCGAUGGGCACACCGUCGAAGCGAAAGCAUCAAGUGCCCCGCCUGGGGAGUAUGGUCGCAAGGCUGAA